rnacentral:rRNA from 1 species
GAUGAACGCUGGCGGCGUGCCUAAUACAUGCAAGUCGAGCGAACAGAUAAGGAGCUUGCUCCUUUGACGUUAGCGGCGGACGGGUGAGUAUCACGUGGGUAACCUACCCAUAAGACUGGAAUAACUCCGGGAAACCGGGGCUAAUGCCGGAUAAUAUUUAGAACCGCAUGGUUCUAAAGUGAAAGAUGGCCUUGCUAUCACUUAUGGAUGGACCCGCGCCGUAUUAGCUAGUUGGUAAGGUAACGGCUUACCAAGGCAACGAUACGUAGCCGACCUGAGAGGGUGAUCGGCCACACUGGAACUGAGACACGGUCCAGACUCCUACGGGAGGCAGCAGUAGGGAAUCUUCCGCAAUGGGCGAAAGCCUGACGGAGCAACGCCGCGUGAGUGAUGAAGGUCUUCGGAUCGUAAAGCUCUGUUAUUAGGGAAGAACAAAUGCGUAAGUAACUGUGCGCGUCUUGACGGUACCUAAUCAGAAAGCCACGGCUAACUACGUG